CAUUAGUUAGAUGUAAGGUAAUACCAACCAUGGGAUCGAUGGGUAGUGGCCGAGAGAGGGGGAUCCCCCACAAUGGUGACAGAGUCGGACCAGACUCGGGAGGGAGGCAGCAGAAGGAAUAUUGGACAAUGAAAGAGAGCCUGAUCCAGCCAUGCUGUGUGCGGGAAGAAGGCCGUACGGGUCGUAAACCGCUUUUAUACGGGAAGAAACCCACAAAAGUGUCGAUGGCUGACGGUACCGUAAGAAUAAGGACCGGCUAACUCCGUGCCAGCAGCCGCGGUAAU
rnacentral:rRNA from 1 species